rnacentral:rRNA from 1 species
AUUGAACGCUGGCGGCAGGCUUAACACAUGCAAGUCGAGCGGGGGAAGGUAGCUUGCUACCGGACCUAGCGGCGGACGGGUGAGUAAUGCUUAGGAAUCUGCCUAUUAGUGGGGGACAACAUCUCGAAAGGGAUGCUAAUACCGCAUACGUCCUACGGGAGAAAGCAGGGGAUCUUCGGACCUUGCGCUAAUAGAUGAGCCCAAGUCGGAUUAGCUAGUGGGUGGGGUAAAGGCCUACCAAGGCGACGAUCUGUAGCGGGUCUGAGAGGAUGAGCCGCCACACUGGGACUGAGACACGGCCCAGACUCCUACGGGAGGCAGCAGUGGGGAAUAUUGGACAAUGGGGGGAACCCUGAUCCAGCCAUGCCGCGUGUGUGAAGUAGGCCUUAUGGUUGUAAAGCACUUUAAGCGAGGAGGAGGCUACUUUAGUUAAUACCUAGAGAUAGUGGACGUUACUCGCAGAAUAAGCACCGGCUAACUCUGUGCCAGCCGCCGCAGUAA